rnacentral:rRNA from 1 species
AUUGAACGCUGGCGGCAUGCUUUACACAUGCAAGUCGAACGGUAACAGGCCGCAAGGUGCUGACGAGUGGCGAACGGGUGAGUAAUGCAUCGGAACGUGCCCAGUCGUGGGGGAUAACUACUCGAAAGAGUAGCUAAUACCGCAUACGAUCUAUGGAUGAAAGCGGGGGACCGUAAGGCCUCGCGCGAUUGGAGCGGCCGAUGUCAGAUUAGGUAGUUGGUGGGGUAAAGGCUCACCAAGCCAACGAUCUGUAGCCGGUCUGAGAGGACGACCAGCCACACUGGGACUGAGCCACGGCCCAGACUCCUACGGGAGGCAGCAGUGGGGAAUUUUGGACAAUGGGCGCAAGCCUGAUCCAGCAAUGCCGCGUGCAGGAAGAAGGCCUUCGGGUUGUAAACUGCUUUUGUACGGAACGAAACGGCUCUGGUUAAUACCCGGGGCUAAUGACGGUACCAUAAGAAUAAGCACCGGCUAACUACGUG